UGAGGAAUCUUGCGCAAUGGAGGCAACUCUGACGCAGCCACGCCGCGUGCUGGAAGACGGCCCUAUGGGUUGUAAACAGCUUUUGGGCGGGAAGAACCCGGGUCUUUCGAGACCCGCUGACGGUACCGCCAGAAUAAGCACCGGCUAACUCCGUGCCAGCAGCCGCGGUAAUACGGAGGGUGCAAGCGUUGUCCGGAAUUAUUGGGUGUAAAGGGUGCGCAGGCGGAGAUCUGCGUCGAGGGUGAAAGCCGGCCGCUCAACGGCCGCCGUGCCCUCGAUACGGGAUCUCUUGAGUCCGGAAGAGGCCGGUGGAACUGGUGGUGUAGCGGUGAAAUGCACAGAGAUCACCAGGAACACCCGUGGCGAAAGCGGCCGGCCGGUCCGGCACUGACGCUGAGGCACGAGAGCGCGGGCAGCGAACAGGAUUAGAUACCCCGGUAGUCC
rnacentral:rRNA from 1 species